rnacentral:rRNA from 1 species
AUGUACGUCAGAAAUCUCGCGCGACACCUCCACAGAAACAAAACACCGUCGUUGUUCUUCAAGUUGGAUAUCAGGAAGGCCUUUGACUCAGUGUGAUGGGAGUACAUCCUUGACCUACUCCACCGGCUGGGCUUUCUGGACCGCUUUCGGGAUUGGGUGGCGGCCCUCUUAUGCACGUCCUCUUCGCGCUUCCACCUCGACGGUAUUGUUGGGCCCACCAUCUACCAUGUUCAAGGGCUCAGACAAGGGGACUACCUCUCCCCCCUUCUCUUUGUCCUCACGACCGACCCCUUGCAGCAGCUCCUCGAUGUUGCCACAAGUCACAACCUGCUCCACAAGAUUUGA